AUUAUUUUGGCAGAUAAUAUGCAUUAAAUUUAGGAUUUAAUUAUAUAGUAAAUCUAUAAAUAAUA
rnacentral:tRNA from 1 species